UACGGAGGGGGCUAGCGUUGUUCGGAAUUACUGGGCGUAAAGGGCGCGUAGGCGGCGUCGUAAGUCAGGCGUGAAAGGCCCGGGCUCAACCCGGGAACUGCGCUUGAUACUGCGGCGCUCGAGUCCGGGAGAGGAUGGCGGAAUUCCCAGUGUAGAGGUGAAAUUCGUAGAUAUUGGGAAGAACACCGGUGGCGAAGGCGGCCAUCGGGACCGGUACUGACGCUAAUGCGCGAAAGCGUGGGGAGCAAACAGG
rnacentral:rRNA from 1 species